CCCUUGCUUCUCAUCAUCCACAAAAUAUGUGGCGUACCGUCCUGCUAAUGGUGCUGGUGAUGGUUGUGAUGGCGGUCACAGCCAACCACGUCCACCGGAAACGACCUUCAGAUGACUGGCCAGAAUUUAAUUUCGAACCUGUCAAAUAAUACGAACACAUCUUCACCACUCCACCAGUGACGACGUCCCCACCACCACCACCAUGGACGACCUCCUCUUCCCUCCCAUCUCUCCUUCCUUUCUUUCCCUGAACCACACCCCCAAAACAUUAGAAAUAUUGGCAUCACCUUUGUACCUCUGAUUUAGCCACAAACACACACACACAGAUGACCGAGGUUCGAUUCCCCGGCCGGGUGGAGAUAUUUGGGUGUGUCUCCUUUCACGUGUAGCCCCUGUUCACCUAGCAGUGAGUAGGUACGGGAUGU